GACGAACGCUGGCGGCGUGCUUAACACAUGCAAGUCGAACGGAAAGGCCCUGCUUUUGUGGGGUGCUCGAGUGGCGAACGGGUGAGUAACACGUGAGUAACCUGCCCUUGACUUUGGGAUAACUUCAGGAAACUGGGGCUAAUACCGGAUAGGAGCUCCUGCUGCAUGGUGGGGGUUGGAAAGUUUCGGCGGUUGGGGCUGGACUCGCGGCUUAUCAGCUUGUUGGUGGGGUAGUGGCUUACCAAGGCUUUGACGGGUAGGCGGCCUGGGAGGGUGACCGGCCACAUUGGGACUGAGAGACGGCCCAGACUCCUACGUGAGGCAGCAGUGGGGAAUAUUGCACAAUGGGCGGAAGCCUGAUGCAGCAACGCCGCGUGCGGGAUGACGGCCUUCGGGUUGUAAACCGCUUUCGCCUGUGACGAAGCGGGAGUGACGGUAAUGGGUAAAGAAGCACCGGCUAACUACGUG
rnacentral:rRNA from 1 species